rnacentral:snRNA from 1 species
GUGCUUGCUUCAGCAGCACAUAUACUAAAAUUGGAAUGAUACAGAGAAGAUUAGCAUGUC